GCCUUUGUGGUGUAGCGGUCAGCACGAUAGGCACGUAUUCUAGAGGUCCGUGGUUCGAGUCCCGGUGAAGGUG
rnacentral:tRNA from 1 species